rnacentral:rRNA from 1 species
AUGGGAACGCGAAGAACCUUACCUACUCUUGACAUCCAGAGAACUUUCCAGAGAUGGAUUGGUGCCUUCGGGAACUCUGAGACAGGUGCUGCAUGGCUGUCGUCAGCUCGUGUUGUGAAAUGUUGGGUUAAGUCCCGCAACGAGCGCAACCCGUUAUCCUUUGUUGCCAGCGGUCCGGCCGGGAACUCAAAGGAGACUGCCAGUGAUAAACUGGAGGAAGGUGGGGAUGACGUCAAGUCAUCAUGGCCCUUACGAGUAGGGCUACACACGUGCUACAAUGGCGCAUACAAAGAGAAGCGACCUCGCGAGAGCAAGCGGACCUCAUAAAGUGCGUCGUAGUCCGGAUUGGAGUCUGCAACUCGACUCCAUGAAGUCGGAAUCGCUAGUAAUCGUAGAUCAGAAUGCUACGGUGAAUACGUU